rnacentral:rRNA from 1 species
CCUACGGGACGCAGCAGUGAGGAAUAUUGGUCAAUGGCCGCGAGGCUGAACCAGCCAAGUCGCGUGAGGGAAGACGGUCCUAUGGAUUGUAAACCUCUUUUGUCAGGGAGCAAGAGGCGCCACGCGUGCCGUUCCGAGAGUACCCGAAGAAAAAGCAUCGGCUAACUCCGUGCCAGCAGCCGCGGUAAUACGGAGGAUGCGAGCGUUAUCCGGAUUUAUUGGGUUUAAAGGGUGCGUAGGCGGGCGUUUAAGUCAGCGGGAAAAAUUCGGGGCUCAACCCCGCCCCGCCGUUGAAACUGGGGGCC